rnacentral:sRNA from 1 species
GGAGAAAUGGAAGAAUGACCGCCAGCAGAAAGGGGAGUCCUAUUGGUAUUCAGUUACCGCCUCCGUAGUUACAAGGAUUGUGGAGAAUAUUGAAUUAAAAAUUCAAGAUGUCCAUUUACGCUUUGAAGAUGGUGUCACCAAUCCCUCCCAUCCUUUUGCGUUUGGCAUCUGCAUUAAGAAUGUGUCCAUGCAAAAUGCUGUGAAUGAGCCUGUGAGUAUGAAAUGUGAUGACAAAGCAGGAAGAAAGCCAUGCUCUAGGAAUUUGGGGCUCUGCCUUUUGCCAUUUUGUGUUAUGUAAAUGAAUCGCAUUCUUUUCCAUUGCCUUCUGUGACAGGCAUGGGUGUCUCUUGUGUAUUUGCAACAAAUCAAAUUUGCUGAAAUAGGGAAACAGGUAAUUUUCUCUGACCUUUGGUUAUAUCACUUUCAUUUUAUACAUGAAGAAACUGAGGGGCAGAAAGGAUUUUAUUUUUGAUUU